rnacentral:rRNA from 1 species
UACGGGGGGGGCAAGCGUUGUCCGGAAUCACUGGGCGUAAAGGGCGCGUAGGCGGCCUGGUAAGUAGGGGGUGAAAUCCUGCGGCUUAACCGCAGGGCUGCCUUCUAAACUGUCAGGCUUGAGCACGGUAGAGGCAGAUGGAAUUCCCGGUGUAGCGGUGGAAUGCGUAGAGAUCGGGAAGAACAUCAGUGGCGAAGGCGGUCUGCUGGGCCGUUGCUGACGCUGAGGCGCGACAGCGUGGGGAGCAAACAGG